rnacentral:rRNA from 1 species
AUUGAACGCUGGCGGCAGGCCUAACACAUGCAAGUCGAAUGGUAACAGGAAACAGCUUGCUGUUUCGCUGACGAGUGGCGGACGGGUGAGUAAUGUCUGGGAAACUGCCUGAUGGAGGGGGAUAACUACUGGAAACGGUAGCUAAUACCGCAUAACGUCGCAAGACCAAAGAGGGGGACCUUCGGGCCUCUUGCCAUCAGAGAUGCCCAGAUGGGAAUAGCUAGUAGGUGGGGUAACGGCUCACCUAGGCGACGAUCCCUAGCUGGUCUGAGAGGGUGAGGAGCCACACUGGAACUGAGCCACGGUCCAGACUCCUACGGGAGGCAGCAGUGGGGAAUAUUGCACAAUGGGCGCAAGCCUGAUGCAGCCAUGCCGCGUGUAUGAAGACGGCCUUCGGGUUGUAAAGUACUUUUAGCGGGGAGGAAGGGAGUAAAGUUAAUACCUUUGCUCAUUGACGUUACCCGCAGAAGAAGCACCGGCUAACUACGUG